rnacentral:rRNA from 1 species
UAAUACGGAGGGUGCAAGCGUUAAUCGGAAUUACUGGGCGUAAAGCGCGCGUAGGCGGUUUGUUAAGUCAGAUGUGAAAUCCCCGGGCUCAACCUGGGAAUGGCAUUUGAGACUGGCAGGCUAGAGUAUGGUAGAGGUGAGUGGAAUUUCAGGUGUAGCGGUGAAAUGCGUAGAGAUCUGAAGGAACAUCAGUGGCGAAGGCGACUCACUGGGCCAUUACUGACGCUGAGGUGCGAAAGCGUGGGUAGCAAACAGGAUUAGAUACCCUGGUAGUCCACGCCCUAAACGAUGUCAACUAGGUGUAUGGAGAAUUUAUUCUUUGUGUAUCGAAGCUAACGCGAUAAGUUGACCGCCUGGGGAGUACGGUCGCAAGACUA